UUCAGGAUGAACGCUAGCGGCGGGCUUAAUACAUGCAAGUCGGACGGCAGCACGGGUAGCAAUACCUGGUGGCGAGUGGCGCACGGGUGCGUAACGCGUAUGCAACCUACCCUUAACUGAGACAUAACCUGGCGAAAGCUGGGCUAAUAUCUCAUGAGGUUAUAGAGGGGCAUCCUGAUAUAAUCAAAGCAGCGAUGUGGUUAAGGAUGGGCAUGCGUCCCAUUAGCUAGUUGGCGAGGUAACGGCUCACCAAGGCGACGGUGGGUAGGGGUUCUGAGAGGAAGGUCCCCCACACUGGUACUGAGACACGGACCAGACUCCUACGGGAGGCAGCAGUAAGGAAUAUUGGGCAAUGGUCGGAAGACUGACCCAGCCAUGCCGCGUGCAGGAAGAAGGCCCUAUGGGUUGUAAACUGCUUUAGCCAGGGGCUAAACCUACCGAUGCGUUGGUAGCUGAAGGUACCUGGAGAAUAAGCAUCGGCUAACUCCGUGCCAGCAGCCGCGGUAAUACGGAGGAUGCGAGCGUUAUCCGGAUUUACUGGGUUUAAAGGGUGCGCAGGCGGUUGUUUAAGUCAGGGGUGAAAGCCCUAUGCUCAACAUAGGGAUUGCCUUUGAUACUGAACGGCUAGAG
rnacentral:rRNA from 1 species